CACGUAGGGUGCGAGCGUUGUCCGGAAUUAUUGGGCGUAAAGAGCUCGUAGGCGGUGUGUCGCGUCGGCCGUGAAAACCUGGGGCUUAACUCUGGGCUUGCGGUCGAUACGGGCAUCACUGGAGUUCGGCAGGGGAGACUGGAAUUCCUGGUGUAGCGGUGAAAUGCGCAGAUAUCAGGAAGAACACCCGUGGCUAAGGCGGCUCUCUAGUACGUGACUGACGCUGAGACGCGAAAGCGUGGGGAGCGAACAGG
rnacentral:rRNA from 1 species